CUAGAGGCCGUUAAGGCUCUACAGGCGGGGAGGGAGGGACAGGCAGGCAGUUGUUUUCUGAGUCAUUCUGUCGUCUCUCCUAGAGCUACGUCCUACUGCAGGGAACGUGAGGCCCACCUGCUCUCAGGUCCCCCUCCUUAGAGGCACCGGACCAACAAACUGCCUCAGUGCUGCUGGGAAGUUCAGCCAGCCAUCUCCUUCCACCAUCCUCCUGGCACACAGCAUGCACCAUCUUAGUUCCCGACCAGGGACUGAAUCUUUGCCCGCUGAAAUGGAAGCUCGGAAUCCUAAUCUUGGACCGCCAGGGAAUUACUGUAAAUAUUAUUUUAAAAAACAGGGAACUAAAUAAAUAUUGAACACUAGUUAAUGAAAUA